GCGGGAAUAGCUCAGUUGGUAGAGCACAACCUUGCCAAGGUUGGGGUCGCGGGUUCGAGUCCCGCUUCCCGCU
rnacentral:tRNA from 1 species